GGGCGUAGCUCAAUGGUAGAGCUCCAGCCUUCCAAGCUGAUUACGCGGGUUCGAUUCCCGUCGCCC
rnacentral:tRNA from 1 species